AAGCAUUUAUUCCACUGGGAUAGAAGCGGCAGGAGCAGCGUUGGCACCGGCGAACCAUGGCUGGGAUUUUCUAUUUUGUCCUCUUUUCGUUUCUCUUUGGGAUUUGCAACGCUGUCACCGGUUCCAGGGUGUACCCCGCGAAUGAAGUUACCUUAUUGGAUUCCAAAUCCGUUCAGGGAGAACUUGGGUGGAUAGCGAGCCCUCUGGAGGGAGGGUGGGAGGAAGUGAGUAUUAUGGAUGAAAAAAAUACACCCAUCCGAACCUACCAAGUGUGCAACGUGAUGGAACCCAGCCAGAAUAACUGGCUCCGAACUGAUUGGAUCACGCGAGAAGGGGCUCAGAGGGUGUACAUUGAGAUCAAGUUCACCUUGAGGGACUGCAAUAGUCUUCCGGGUGUCAUGGGGACUUGCAAGGAGACGUUUAACCUCUACUACUAUGAAUCAGACAACGACAAAGAGCGUUUUAUCCGAGAGAGCCAGUUUGCCAAGAUCGACACCAUUGCCGCCGACGAGAGCUUCACCCAGGUGGACAUUGGCGACAGAAUCAUGAAGCUAAACACUGAGAUCAGAGAUGUGGGGCCAUUGAGCAAGAAGGGGUUUUAUCUGGCUUUUCAGGAUGUGGGCGCCUGCAUUGCCCUGGUAUCGGUCCGCGUGUUCUACAAGAAGUGUCCGCUCACAGUUCGCAAUCUGGCCCAGUUUCCAGACACCAUCACAGGGGCUGAUACGUCUUCACUGGUGGAAGUGCGAGGCUCCUGUGUCAACAACUCAGAAGAGAAGGAUGUGCCAAAAAUGUACUGUGGGGCAGAUGGCGAGUGGCUGGUACCCAUUGGCAACUGCCUAUGCAAUGCUGGGCAUGAAGAGCGGAACGGAGAAUGCCAAGCCUGCAAAAUUGGAUAUUACAAGGCCCUCUCCACGGACGCCACCUGUGCCAAGUGCCCACCCCACAGCUACUCUGUUUGGGAAGGCGCCACAUCGUGUACCUGUGACCGAGGCUUUUUCAGGGCCGACAACGACGCUGCUUCUAUGCCCUGCACCCGCCCUCCAUCUGCUCCCCUGAACUUGAUUUCAAACGUCAACGAGACUUCAGUGAACUUGGAAUGGAGCAGUCCUCAGAACACAGGUGGCCGCCAGGACAUCUCCUACAAUGUGGUGUGUAAGAGGUGUGGAGCCGGUGAUUCCAGCAAGUGCCGGCCCUGUGGAAGUGGGGUCCACUAUACCCCGCAGCAGAAUGGCCUGAAGACCACCAAAGUCUCCAUCACUGACCUGCUGGCUCAUACCAAUUACACAUUUGAAAUCUGGGCAGUGAAUGGAGUGUCCAAGUAUAACCCUAGCCCAGAUCAAUCAGUGUCCGUCACCGUGACAACGAACCAAGCAGCACCAUCAUCCAUUGCUUUGGUCCAGGCUAAAGAAGUUACCAGAUACAGUGUUGCUCUGGCUUGGCUGGAACCAGAUCGGCCCAAUGGGGUAAUCCUGGAGUACGAAGUCAAGUAUUAUGAGAAGGAUCAGAAUGAGCGAAGCUAUCGGAUUGUGCGCACAGCUGCCAGGAACACGGAUAUCAAAGGUCUGAACCCUCUGACUUCCUAUGUUUUCCAUGUCCGGGCCAGGACAGCCGCUGGUUAUGGGGACUUCAGUGAGCCCCUGGAGGUGACAACCAACACAGUGCCUUCCCGGAUCAUCGGCGAUGGGGCCAACUCCACAGUCCUUCUGGUGUCCGUCUCAGGCAGUGUGGUGCUCGUGGUCAUUCUCAUCGCGGCUUUUGUCAUCAGCAGGAGACGGAGUAAAUACAGUAAAGCCAAACAAGAAGCAGAUGAAGAGAAACAUUUGAAUCAAGGUGUUAGAACUUAUGUGGAUCCCUUUACAUAUGAAGAUCCUAACCAAGCAGUUAGAGAAUUCGCCAAAGAAAUCGAUGCAUCCUGCAUUAAGAUCGAAAAAGUCAUAGGAGUUGGUGAGUUUGGUGAAGUCUGCAGUGGGCGUCUCAAAGUGCCUGGCAAGAGAGAGAUCUGUGUGGCCAUCAAGACGCUGAAAGCUGGUUAUACUGACAAACAGAGGAGAGACUUUCUGAGUGAGGCCAGCAUCAUGGGACAGUUUGACCACCCGAAUAUAAUUCACUUGGAAGGAGUCGUCACCAAAUGUAAACCAGUAAUGAUUAUAACGGAGUACAUGGAGAAUGGCUCCUUGGAUGCAUUCCUCAGGAAGAAUGAUGGCAGAUUUACGGUCAUUCAGUUGGUGGGCAUGCUUCGUGGCAUUGGGUCUGGGAUGAAGUAUUUAUCUGAUAUGAGCUAUGUGCAUCGAGAUCUGGCUGCACGAAAUAUUCUGGUAAAUAGCAACUUGGUCUGCAAAGUGUCUGAUUUCGGCAUGUCCCGAGUGCUCGAGGAUGAUCCGGAAGCGGCUUAUACCACAAGGGGUGGCAAGAUUCCUAUCCGGUGGACUGCGCCAGAAGCCAUUGCCUAUCGUAAAUUCACAUCAGCAAGUGAUGUAUGGAGCUAUGGAAUCGUUAUGUGGGAAGUGAUGUCGUAUGGAGAGAGACCCUAUUGGGAUAUGUCCAAUCAAGACGUGAUUAAAGCGAUUGAGGAAGGCUACCGGCUACCCCCUCCAAUGGACUGCCCUAUUGCGCUCCACCAGCUCAUGCUAGACUGCUGGCAGAAGGAGAGAAGUGACAGGCCUAAGUUUGGGCAGAUUGUCAACAUGUUGGACAAACUCAUCCGCAACCCCAACAGCUUGAAGAGGACAGGGACUGAGAACUCCAGACCCAAUACUGCCUUGUUGGAUCCAAGCUCCCCUGAAUUCUCUGCCGUGGUAUCUGUGGGCGACUGGCUUCAGGCCAUUAAAAUGGACCGGUAUAAGGAUAAUUUCACAGCUGCUGGUUAUACCACACUAGAGGCUGUAGUGCACAUGAACCAGGAUGACCUGGCACGAAUCGGCAUCACAGCGGUCACACACCAGAAUAAGAUUUUGAGCAGUGUCCAGGCAAUGAGAACCCAAAUGCAGCAGAUACAUGGCAGAAUGGUUCCUGUCUGAGCCAGUACUGAAUGAACUCAAAACUCUUGAAAUUAGUUUACCUCAUCCAUGCACUUUAAUUGAAGAACUGCACUUUUUUUACUUCGUCUUCGCCCUCUGAAAUUAAAAAAACAAAAACAAAACAUAUAUAUAUAUAUAUAUCUGCAGCGUUGCUUGGUGUACAGAUUGCUGAAACUGUGGAGCUUACAGAAAUGACCACUGUCAUUCGAAUUAAACCUGGAACAAAUUGUUUCUCAGAAGUACUCCCAUAAUCGUCAGUUUGUAAAAUACAUGUACCUGUAUAAAUAGGACACCACCUCCGAGUUUUGAUGCUGUAUUUGCUGCCGGACACUGAGCUUGUCUGAGACAUCCUUGAUCCUCUCUCCACCUGGAAUUACAACCAUAGUAUUUCGUUUGUGGCAUAAAUCGCAGUCAUCCUUCUUUCGCUGGAAUGAAGACCGUGCCCAGAAACGUUUUUGAAGGACUCGGUUGUAGCUUUUAAGGCUUGAUUGGUACUGUAGGAAAAAACCUUCAGUGCCGGUGGAUUAUGAUGGCAUGAAGGGCUGGAAAAAAAAAGGAAAGUGGAUUUAAAAUAAUGAUAAUAAUAAUAUUAAAACCCAAACACCAUACCCCCUAACUGGACAAAUGAAGUCUGUUUCUUUGGGCAUGAGGCUGUGCCAUGUAAAGGCUUAUCUGGAACUCUAUGAACUUAUCGUCGCUACCUUAUGUGGAUAGUGGACUCUGACAAUCUUGAAUAAAGAACUUUUACACUUCUCUGCUUUAAAGAAGCAAACACAAAUCUCCAAGGGAGUAGAUUCUGCUAUCUUGGCCUUGCAGCCCUUCCUGUUGAUUACAAAGCCCACGGAAGAAAACAGAACACACCCUCCUCGGUUCUUUCUAAAUGUGUUUCUUCUGCUUCUACUGCGCCAGUUCUGGAGCAAAGACACUGAUGAAACAGCAUCUGCACCUGCAAAGGAUAAAUGUGCGACUUGUAGAUCCCCUUGCCCAGUGAAAGAAACAGCAAGCAUUCAAGGUUCAGCAUCUGUUCUCCGGUUGCACUGAGGAAUGUACUGUCUCGAAGCACCAGCUCUGCAGAACCUUGUUCCCGAACUCCUCGUGGCUUUAUUUAUAUGUAUUUCCAUACUUCAUUCUUGUGUGUCACUGCUGCAUUGGUGUGACAGCAAGUGACCAAAGGCUACAGGUUUUCCUAUGGACACCGGGUCAGGUGCCACCACACAAAACAAAGCCAGUUCCCAUGAGCUGCCUAUGAUAUGCAUUGCUGAAGUAACGUUUUACCCAGGGUGUGCCAUUGCAGUGAUAUAAAUAUAUUUUUUUCCUAGACUAAAUAUGAGCUGACUCUCUGUUUUGAUGUGUGUACAUAGGUGUGAGCGUGUGUGUACACAUGUGUAUGUGUGUGUGCGUGUAUAACCUCAUGCUUAGAACUGCCUGUGUCUGUUGUGGAAUGCGACACGUGGAGCGUUCUGGUUUUCCACCAGUUCUGAGAUGAAGAGCCACACGAGAUGGCGGGCCUGGAGGCCAUGCUCAUCCCCUCGGAAAGACAACCGGAAAUGUUAAAACGUCCUGUGUUUUGUAGCUGCCAAACUAACCUUAAUGAGUAUUUCUACAGCUUUGGGCAGAGGCAUUUUCACCUUAGCGGUGGAGUAAUUUUACAAUAUAAACCCGUUCAAGUGAUAACCCACCAUCAAAGUCACAACUUCUGAUUGAACUCCUCAUCUGAAUCACCAGUUCCUUGACGGAGAGAGAGAAGGGGAUAGAAUUUGUCUGGUAACCCCAAAUGGAAUACAAGUAGCCUUCGUUUUCCUGAAUAAAUGGACUUGUUGAAUGAGAACAAAUAUAUGCAAUUCAUAUACUUUUGGAGAUGAGCGUAGACAUGUGUGUCAGCUUUGAGAUGAUAUGUCCUGGAUUAAUACUUUGUCUCCCAAUGUCACAGAAAAAUACAUGCCAGUGACUCUUGAGGUUAGCAUAGUUGAGAUUAAAUGGCCUCAAGCAAUUUCAGGUUCCCAAUUACAUAGAAAGUUCUACAGUUAAUAUACAGCUAACACUGAUGGCCCUCAAAAGUGCGUCAGCCCACUAAAAUCUGAGGUCCACUAGAACCUGAAGGUUCUGUUUUGAUAUGAUGUGCAUACCAAACUCCAGCCAACAUACUGCCGUGUUUCAUAAUCUGAGUGGCUGCCUUGUUUAUUCUAAGCUAUGGCUGCAGAAACUGUGGUCAUUUAUAUAAGCUAUAACAUCAAAUCAGGGAAAAAUGGGAAACAAGAUUCUGAACCCUAUGUUGUUGAAUAAGUAAAGAAAAUCAUCGGUAAAUAUUUAUUGCAUUCUGACAGGGUGUAUGGCAUUGUAUUCUCAUAACUAUGCCAGAGUGACAAAGUUAAUUCACCCCUUUUUGGGGACUUUAAUAUAUUUUUAAAGGGAUGUGCCUAUGCAUUGAUGCCUGAAAAAUAUGUAUAAAGAAAUGAUGUCGAAUCUCUGAGCAGGUCACCCUUCCACAGAGGUAAGGGCAAGAGGCCAACGUCACGGGCUGGGUCUAGCCCCACGAGUGAGUCUUGGCCUAGUGAGCUCAGAUCUUCCAUUAGGAAGCAUUAAGCUGAUCUCGUGCACCAAAUCAAGUAGCUUCACCAUGUGUCCACUGGCCCCAAAUUAUUUUUAACGAUAUUAUGAAUAAAAUGUUCUGGUGUGUUUUAAGAAGUUAUUUUAAAGAAAGGUUGUGCUCACUACACUGCUGGUGUGUGUGUUUUAAGACCUCUCAUAUUCAAUCUGUGAAGGAUGUGUAUUAAUCCAUACACGCUUUAGCCUCAAUAUUUGUCUGAAGACACUUAAAUUCUGACCAGUAAAGGAAAGUUCUAGAAGCAAUAUUUUCACUUAUUUAACAUUCUCCAAACAACAUCAAACAUUGAUACACACUGAAGAGUGCAUUUAUUUUUUUUAUCACUCCAAGUAUGUUGGAAUAUGCAAGGACUGUGGUUAAAAUUAGAAUGUAUAAGACAUAUUAUAAUUUAGUUCAUACUGAAAAAGAAAUUAACAGAAAAUUGCUUGGUUCAUACAUGUUCUGAAAUUUGAACGAUCUCUUAAGUUAGACAUAGAUUUUCUAUUUUGUUUUAAUUUUGUCAAGGUAUAUUUCUUCCCUUCAUGAAACUUAGGUACACAUAACUUAUGUCAUUUAUUUAUGGUCUUUUAUACCUAGUUUGUAAAAUUGUAAAAUAGCAAACUAAAUGCAAAGAGUUUGCAUUUGAAAAUAAUAAAGUAGUUGCCAUAUACAAACCUG